GACGAUUGCUGGCGGCGUGCUUAACACAUGCAAGUCGAACGGAAAGGCCCUGCUUUUGUGGGGUGCUCGAGUGGCGAACGGGUGAGCAACACGUGAGUAACCUGCCCUUGACUUUGGGAUAACUUCAGGAAACUGGGGCUAAUACCGGAUAGGAGCUCCUGCUGCAUGGUGGGGGUUGGAAAGUUUCGGCGGUUGGGGAUGGACUCGCGGCUUAUCAGCUUGUUGGUGGGGUAGUGGCUUACCAAGGCUUUGACGGGUAGCCGGCCUGAGAGGGUGACCGGCCACAUUGGGACUGAGAUACGGCCCAGACUCCUACGGGAGGCAGCAGUGGGGAAUAUUGCACAAUGGGCGGAAGCCUGAUGCAGCAACGCCGCGUGCGGGAUGACGGCCUUCGGGUUGUAAACCGCUUUUGCCUGUGACGAAGCGUGAGUGACGGUAAUGGGUAAAGAAGCACCGGCUAACUACGUGCCAGCAGCCGCGGUGAUACGUAGGGUGCGAGCGUUGUCCGGAUUUAUUGGGCGUAAAGGGCUCGUAGGUGGUUGAUCGCGUCGGAAGUGUAAUCUUGGGGCUUAACCCUGAGCGUGCUUUCGAUACGGGUUGACUUGAGGAAGGUAGGGGAGAAUGGAAUUCCUGGUGGAGCGGUGGAAUGCGCAGAUAUCAGGAGGAACACCAGUGGCGAAGGCGGUUCUCUGGGCCUUUCCUGACGCUGAGGAGCGAAAGCGUGGGGAGCGAACAGGCUUAGAUACCCUGGUAGUCCACGCUGUAAACGGUGGGUACUAGGUGUGGGGUCCAUUCCACGGGUUCCGUGCCGUAGCUAACGCUUUAAGUACCCCGCCUGGGGAGUACGGCCGCAAGGCUAAAACUCAAAGGAAUUGACGGGGCCCCGCACAAGCGGCGGAGCAUGCGGAUUAAUUCGAUGCAACGCGUAGAACCUUACCUGGGUUUGACAUGGAUCGGGAGCGCUCAGAGAUGGGUGUGCCUCUUUUGGGGUCGGUUCACAGGUGGUGCAUGGCUGUCGUCAGCUCGUGUCGUGAGAUGUUGGGUUAAGUCCCGCAACGAGCGCAACCCUUGUUCACUGUUGCCAGCACGUUAUGGUGGGGACUCAGUGGAGACCGCCGGGGUCAACUCGGAGGAAGGUGGGGAUGACGUCAAGUCAUCAUGCCCCUUAUGUCCAGGGCUUCACGCAUGCUACAAUGGCUGGUACAGAGAGUGGCGAGCCUGUGAGGGUGAGCGAAUCUCGGAAAGCCGGUCUCAGUUCGGAUUGGGGUCUGCAACUCGACCUCAUGAAGUCGGAGUCGCUAGUAAUCGCAGAUCAGCAACGCUGCGGUGAAUACGUUCCCGGGGCU
rnacentral:rRNA from 1 species